CCUUGACAUACUAAGAACUUUCCGAGAGAUGGAUGGUGCCUUCGGGAACUUAGAUACAGGUGCUGCAUGGCUGUCGUCAGCUCGUGUCGUGAGAUGUUGGGUUAAGUCCCGCAACGAGCGCAACCCUUUUCCUUAUUUGCCAGCGGGUAAUGCCGGGAACUUUAAGGAUACUGCCAGUGACAAACUGGAGGAAGGCGGGGACGACGUCAAGUCAUCAUGGCCCUUACGGCCAGGGCUACACACGUGCUACAAUGGUCGGUACAAAGGGUUGCUACCUCGCGAGAGGAUGCUAAUCUCAAAAAAGCCGAUCGUAGUCCGGAUCGCAGUCUGCAACUCGACUGCGUGAAGUCGGAAUCGCUAGUAAUCGCGGAUCAGAAUGCCGCGGUGAAUACGUUCCCGGGCCUUGUACACACCGCCCGUCACACCGUGGGAGUUUGUUGCACCAGAAGUAGGUAGUCUAACCGCAAGGAGGACGCUUACCACGGUGUGGCCGAUGACUGGGGUGAAGUCGUAACAAGGUAAGCGUAGAUGA
rnacentral:rRNA from 1 species